rnacentral:rRNA from 1 species
GAUGAACGCUGGCGGCGUGCCUAAUACAUGCAAGUCGAGCGAAUGGAUUAAGAGCUUGCUCUUAUGAAGUUAGCGGCGGACGGGUGAGUAACACGUGGGUAACCUGCCCAUAAGACUGGGAUAACUCCGGGAAACCGGGGCUAAUACCGGAUAACAUUUUGAACCGCAUGGUUCGAAAUUGAAAGGCGGCUUCGGCUGUCACUUAUGGAUGGACCCGCGUCGCAUUAGCUAGUUGGUGAGGUAACGGCUCACCAAGGCAAAGAUGCGUAGCCGACCGGAGAGGGUGAUCGGCCACACUGGGACUGAGACACGGCCCAGACUCCUACGGGAGGCAGCAGUAGGGAAUCUUCCGAUAUGGACGAAAGUCUGACGUAGCAACGCCGCGUGAGUGAUGAAGGCUUUCGGGUCGUAAAACUCUGUUGUUAGGGAAGAACAAGUGCUAGUUGAAUAAGCUGGCACCUUGACGGUACCUAACCAGAAAGCCACGGCUAACUACGUGCCAGCCGCCGCGGUAA